rnacentral:rRNA from 1 species
GACGAACGCUGGCGGCGUGCUUAACACAUGCAAGUCGAACGGAAAGGCCCCAGCUUGCUGGGGUACUCGAGUGGCGAACGGGUGAGUAACACGUGGGUGAUCUGCCCUGCACUCUGGGAUAAGCCUGGGAAACUGGGUCUAAUACCGGAUAGGACCGUGCUUUAGUGUGUGCGGUGGAAAGUUUUUCGGUGCAGGAUGAGCCCGCGGCCUAUCAGCUUGUUGGUGGGGUAAUGGCCUACCAAGGCGGCGACGGGUAGCCGGCCUGAGAGGGUGUACGGCCACAUUGGGACUGAGACAGGGCCCAGACUCCUACGGGAGGCAGCAGUGGGGAAUAUUGCACAAUGGGCGCAAGCCUGAUGCAGCGACUCCGCGUGGGGGAUGACGGCCUUCGGGUUGUAAACCCCUUUCGGCAGGGACGAAGCUUUUGUGACGGUACCUGCAUAAGAAGCACCGGCUAACUACGUG